rnacentral:rRNA from 1 species
GACGAACGCUGGCGGCAUGCCUAAUACAUGCAAGUCGAACGCUGAAGCACUCUGCUUGCAGAGUGCGGAUGAGUGGCGAACGGGUGAGUAACACGUGGGAAAUCUGCCUAGGAGUGGGGGAUAACAUUCGGAAACGGAUGCUAAUACCGCAUAUCUUUUUGAACCGCAUGGUUCUUAAACGAAAGACGGCUUCGGCUGUCGCUCUUAGAUGAUCCCGCGGCGUAUUAGUUAGUUGGUGGGGUAAAGGCCUACCAAGACCAUGAUACGUAGCCGACCUGAGAGGGUGAUCGGCCACAUUGGAACUGAGACACGGUCCAAACUCCUACGGGAGGCAGCAGUGGGGAAUAUUGCACAAUGGGGGAAACCCUGAUGCAGCAACGCCGCGUGAAGGAAGACGGUCUUCGGAUUGUAAACUUUGUUCUUGGUGAAGAAAAUGACGGUAGCCAAGGAGGAAGCCACGGGCUAACUACGUG